UACGAAGGGGGCUAGCGUUGUUCGGAAUUACUGGGCGUAAAGCGUGCGUAGGCGGUUCGCUCAGUUCGUUGUGAAAGCCCCGGGCUCAACCUGGGAACUGCCUUUGAUACUGUCGAUCUGGAGUAUGGAAGAGGUGAGUGGAAUUCCGAGUGUAGAGGUGAAAUUCGUAGAUAUUCGGAGGAACACCAGUGGCGAAGGCGGCUCACUGGACCAUUACUGACGCUGAGGUGCGAAAGCGUGGGGAGCAAACAGG
rnacentral:rRNA from 1 species